AUUGAACGCUGGCGGCAUGCCUUACACGUGCAAGUCGAACGGCAGCACGGGAGCAAUCCUGGUGGCGAGUGGCGAACGGGUGAGUAAUAUAUCGGAACGUGCCCAGUCGUGGGGAUAACGUAGCGAAAGCUACGCUAAUACCGCAUACGAUCUAUGGAUGAAAGCGGGGGAUCGCAAGACCUCGCGCGAUUGGAGCGGCCGAUAUCAGAUUAGGUAGUUGGUGAGGUAAAGGCUCACCAAGCCGACGAUCUGUAGCUGGUCUGAGAGGACGACCAGCCACACUGGGACUGAGACACGGCCCAGACUCCUACGGGAGGCAGCAGUGGGGAAUUUUGGACAAUGGGCGCAAGCCUGAUCCAGCAAUGCCGCGUGCAGGAUGAAGGCC
rnacentral:rRNA from 1 species